rnacentral:rRNA from 1 species
GACGAACGCUGGCGGCGUGCUUAACACAUGCAAGUCGAACGGAAAGGCCCUGCUUUUGUGGGGUGCUCGAGUGGCGAACGGGUGCGUAACACGUGAGUAACCUGCCCUUGACUUUGGGAUAACUUCAGGAAACUGGGGCUAAUACCGGAUAGGAGCUCCUGCUGCAUGUUGGGGGUUGGAAAGUUUCGGCGGUUGGUGUUGGACUCGCGGCUUCUGAGCUUGUUGGUGGGGUAGUGGCUUACCAAGGCUUUGACGGGUAGCAGGCCUGAGAGGGUGACCGGCCACAUUGGGACUGAGAUACGGCCCAGACUCCUACGGGAGGCAGCAGUGGGGAAUAUUGCACAAUGGGCGGAAGCCUGAGGCAGCAACGCCGCGUGCGGGAUGACGGCCUUCGGGUUGUAAACCGCUUUCGCCUGUGACGAAGCGUGAGUGACGGUAAUGGGUAAAGAAGCACCGGCUAACUACGUG